rfam:Ictidomys tridecemlineatus contig066279, whole genome shotgun sequence.
GAGGAUAUAGCUCAGUUGGUAGAGUGUUUGCCCUGCAUGCAUAAGGCCCUGGGUUCAAUCCCCAGCACCACCU